rnacentral:lncRNA from 10 species
AGGAAACCUGGGGUCUUGGGACAAAAGGACAAUCCAGGAAAAAAAACCUCAGCAAUGUCCUAAUCACAUGAUGCUAACAUGGGAGGGAGCUUACAAAGUUCUUUCACAUCCAUUCCUCGGUUCUUAUAACAGCCUCAUGAGUGGGCAGGGCAGGGUUUAUAAUUCUCUUUUUACAAGUGAAGGAACUCAGGCUCAGAGCUGGCAGGACUUGUCUCCAAGUUCUCAGGGGAGUCUGGAUUAGAACCCAGGGCUCUGGAUUGGCCCAAGCCACCCCAGGAACUAGACUAGAGGCUACCACUGUUUGGCCCACACCCCUUUACCACUGCCACACCCAGGAAAAACAAGGUCCCGUAGAACAGCCGUGUAGCACCAUUCAGAACUGCCCUCUGCCCCGUGCCAAGCAGAAAAAGUGUGAGGUCUGCGAGUCAUCCUGCUACAGCCGGAGACUCAGCCUGAACCAGUCAGCGUGAAUGUGAGACCCUGCGAACAUGGAGGCCGGUAAAGAGGGGGAAUUUCAUGCGGAGAAGAGCAGCCUGUUCACUUCUAACAAUCGAGUGGAGGACUCUGAGUCCCUAAGAGACGAUGGAGUAACUAGAUGAAAGGAGCUUGAGUCCCUGAAUGAUUGCAUGGAGCAGAGUCCCA